AUUGAACGCUGGCGGCAUGCCUUACACAUGCAAGUCGAGCGAACAGACGAGGAGCUUGCUCCUCUGACGUUAGCGGUGGACGGGUGAGUAACACGUGGAUAACCUACCUAUAAGACUGGGAUAACUUCGGGAAACCGGAGCUAAUACCGGAUAACAUGUUGAACCGCAUGGUUCAACAGUGAAAGACGGUCUUGCUGUCACUUAUAGAUGGAUCCGCGCCGCAUUAGCUAGUUGGUAAGGUAACGGCUUACCAAGGCAACGAUGCGUAGCCGACCUAAGAGGGUGAACGGCCCCACUGGAACGGAGCCACGGUCCAGACUCCUACGGGAGGCAGCAGUAGGGAAUCUUCCGCAAUGGGCGAAAGCCUGACGGAGCAACGCCGCGUGAGUGAAGAAGGUCUUCGGAUCGUAAAACUCUGUUAUUAGGGAAGAACAAAUGUGUAAGUAACUAUGCACGUCUUGACGGUACCUAAUCAGAAAGCCACGGCUAACUACGUGCCAGCAGCCGCCGUAA
rnacentral:rRNA from 1 species